rnacentral:rRNA from 1 species
UACGUAGGGGGCAAGCGUUGUCCGGAUUUAUUGGGCGUAAAGAGCGUGUAGGCGGUUUGGUAGGUCCGCUGUGAAAACUCGAGGCUCAACCUCGAGACGCCGGUGGAAACCAUCAGGCUAGAGUCCGGAAGAGGAGAGUGGAAUUCCUGGUGUAGCGGUGAAAUGCGCAGAUAUCAGGAAGAACACCCGUGGCUAAGGCGGCUCUCUAGUACGGUACUGGCGCUGAGACGCGAAAGCGUGGGGAGCGAACAGG